GUUCUUUGGGCUUGAUCCAAAGCCUGCUGAAUUCAAUGGAAACAGUUCUAUUGAGUUCAGUGGGCUUUGGAUCAGGCCCUUAAUCAU
rnacentral:pre_miRNA from 1 species